GGCUUCGUAGCUCAGCCUGGUAGAGCACUGCCCUCUUAAGGCAGGUGUCGUGGGUUCAAAUCCCAUCGAGGCCA
rnacentral:tRNA from 2 species